GAUGAAGAACGUAGCGAAAUGCGAUAAGUAAUGUGAAUUGCAGAAUUCAGUGAAUCAUCGAAUCUUUGAACGCACAUUGCGCCCAUUAGUAUUCUAGUGGGCAUGCCUGUUCGAGCGUCAUUUCAACCCUUAAGCCUAGCUUAGUGUUGGGAGACUGCCUAAUACGCAGCUCCUCAAAACCAGUGGCGGAGUCUGUUCGUGCUCUGAGCGUAGUAAUUUUUUAUCUCGCUUCUGCAAGCCGGCCAGACGACAGCCAUAAACCGCACCCUCUCGGGGGGCACUUUCUUAAUGGUUGACCUCGGAUCAGGUAGGAAUACCCGCUGAACUUAAGCAUAUCAAUAAGCGGAGGA
rnacentral:misc_RNA from 1 species